rnacentral:rRNA from 1 species
AAUAGAUACCCAGGUAGUCCACGCCGUAAACCGUUGGGCGCUAGGUGUGGGAUCCCUUCCACGGGUUCCGGUGCCGCAGCUAACGCAUUAAGCGCCCCGCCUGGGGAGUACGGCCGCAAGACUAAAACUCAAAGGAAUUGACGGGGGGCCCGCACAAGCGGCGGAGCAUGUGGAUUAAUUCGAUGCAACGCGAAGAACCUUACCUGGGUUUGACAUACACCGGAAAGCCGUGGAGACACGGCCCCCGCAAGGUCGGUGUACAGGUGGUGCAUGGCUGUCGUCAGCUCGUGUCGUGAGAUGUUGGGUUAAGUCCCGCAACGAGCGCAACCCUUGUCCUAUGUUGCCAGCGGGUAAUGCCGGGGACUCAUGGGAGACUGCCGGGGUCAACUCGGAGGAAGGUGGGGACGACGUCAAGUCAUCAUGCCCCUUAUGUCCAGGGCUUCACACAUGCUACAAUGGCCGGUACAGAGGGCUGCGAAGCCGUGAGGUGGAGCUAAUCCCAAAAAGCCGGUCUCAGUUCGGAUUGGGGUCUGCAACUCGACCCCAUGGAAC